rnacentral:rRNA from 1 species
GACGAACGCUGGCGGCGUGCCUAAUACAUGCAAGUAGGACGCAGUUGCGAACGGGUGAGUAACGCGUAGGUAACUACCUAUUAGAGGGGGAUAACUAUUGGAAACGAUAGCUAAUACCGCAUACUAGUAGAUGUACCUGCGUUGUAUUAGCUAGUAGGUAGGUUAAUGGCCUACCUAGGCAACGAUACAUAGCCGAACCGAGACGUGGACCGGCCAAACUGGGACUGAGACACGGCCCAGACUCCGCCGGGAGGCAGCAGUAGGGAAUCUUCGGCAAUGGUGGGAAACCUGACCGAGCAACGCCGGGUGAGUGAAGAAGGUUUUCGGAGCGUAAAGCUCUGUUGUUAAGGAAGCGGUACUUAACCAGAAAGGGACGGCUAACUACGUGCCAGCAGCCGCGGUAAUUC